GACGAACGCUGGCGGCGUGCUUAACACAUGCAAGUCGAACGGAAAGGCCCUGCUUUUGUGGGGGGCUCGAGUGGCAAAGGGGUGAGUAACACGUGAGUAACCUGCCCUUGACUUUGGGAUAACUUCAGGAAACUGGGGCUAAUACCGGAUAGGAGCUCCUGAUGCAUGGGGGGGGUUGGAAAUUUUAGGCGGUUGUGGAUGGAUGCCAGGCUUAUCAGCUUGUUGGGGGGGGAGUGGCAUACCAAGCGUUUGAAAGGUAGCCCGCAUGGGAGGGGGACCGGCCACAUUGGGCCUGCGGUAGGGCCCAGUGGGCAAUGGUGGGCAGCGGUCGGGAAUAUUGCACAGUGGUCCGAAGUCUGUUACGGCAGCGCCGCGUGCGUGAUGACGGCUUGGGGGUUGUGAACCGCUUUGGCCUGAGACGAAGCUUGAGUGACGGUAAUGGGUAAAGAAGCACCGGCUAACUACGUG
rnacentral:rRNA from 1 species